rnacentral:lncRNA from 1 species
CGCUAUUCAUCGACAAUGCACACAUUUGUCAGCAGAAGAGUAUCGAUGAACACUUCAUUUUUGGUGAAAAGUCCUCGAAAGCACACGCCUAGAUCAUUCGAGCUGAGAAUUGACGAUUUUAAGCAAGUGAAAUAUUCCUUCGAUAAAAUAACAUGGAACACCCAGUAUAUGUAAGAGGGGAAGAUGUUAGAAAUUCUUGGUCGUACGGUGUAACGCUCCGUUGACACGAUGAUGGAUCGUCCACCUUGACCGGACAGGUAGACAUACAUUCACACUAACGCGUUGAAAGUGUGUAAUCGUAGCAGCACGCAGGUACCUUUACAAGGGUCAACAACUCCAUCAAAACGUGAAAAUCAUCUGAUACGGUGUUUGACCCGCUUACUUGCGAACUUGGCAUACGACAAACUCUGAACACGUGCACGGAAUUCAAUAUGAAAUAAUCAUUUUUAUAGAAUAAAAAAUAAAUUACUAUCAUAUGUUGUUGUACAAGUAACAGGAUUCUCGUUCAAUUAAUUGCGUUAUUCAGAAACGAUCAAUCAGCAAUUAGCAAUGUACUGUCCAGCUUGGGGUGACCAGACUAUGUAAUCUAAAGAUUGAAAACAGACUAGAACAUGGUGCAUGCAUACAAUUAUAAAUCUUCCCGAACGAUGCAGCCAGCAGCACGAGACGACGCUGACUCUAAUUAUGAAUCUUGAGACCUUGGCCACCCCUGAUCGGUACGUUUACGUCGGCCUGGCCAGGUCUCGCCGUUUGUUUUUCCCUGCCAAUUUGCACCGAGAUCUCGAGUCCACGACACGAGAUACACCAUUGGCGGAACAAGACGGAGGAACAAGCUGAAAGGCGAGGAGCACGAAGAGGAAGAGGAUGCAGGAAGAAAAAGGAGAUCGGGCUGGUCACACAUGACAAUGUACGACGAAGGCAUGAUGGAUGAGGGGGCGGCUAGUUUACGUGAUCGAGACAUGAUCGCCGGCAGACGGGGUGGUCCGUCUGUCCGUUUCUUUUCUCUUUCUUUCGCAUUGGAAUGGCUUGUCCAGUGUGUUUCGCCCUUUCCACGUAGUACACGUAACACACGAGAACUCGAACCACCCCUGUCACCGGUCUGACCGAUCUUAUUGUCAUAUUCUACGGACACGGGAGAAGUUGCUCCCUUAAGGCGAAUUUACACUUUUUAAUUUUGAAUAUUCUAUAUUCUGAAUAAUUUAUUCACAUAGGAAUGAUGAAAAUUAGAAUAUUUAUAGAUAAAUAUUUGUACAAUGAUUGAAUUCGUGAGUAUUGGAUUGAUUUAAGACGAAUUUAGACUUUUCACUUCGGAUAUGCACGAUUAUACGGCACUAAAACUGUAUGUUAUGAAUUGAUUAUUUGUCAUUGGUUAAGUUUAGACUUGCCAUUGUUUUCAUUAUGGAUGAAUCUUAUUGAUGAAAAGUAGAAAAUAAUUUUACUUUGUUCACCGAUCACUUUGAAUGUUCAUAUGAAAACGAUCUUUAUUACGGAUGAAAAAAUCUAAAUUCGUUUUUAA